ACACGUCCAUUGAAACUGAUAAAACGUCUUUUCAUUGGCUUUCAUGGUUUUAAAAAUAGCUGCAUCUGAAGGACAAUUCUGGAUGAGAAAAUAGCCUAUUCAGCCCAUCUGAUACAGACAUCCAGAUGCGUCAGUAAUCUCCUCAAGCCUAUGGGGGUGAGAGAUAAAAGUAUCAUGUCAUCCGCAUAUAAUAACAUUGCAACCUUCCUACUUCUCAUAGAGGGAGGGAAAUAUGAUGGACCCGCCAGUUCAGCAACGAUGUCAUUCAGGAAGUAAAAGAUUGUCCUUCCAUACAAAUGGCUUCUAACUGCUAACAAGAUGAAACAGCAGUAAGGACAAAAUGGACUGAAGGAAAGAAAAGAAAAGAAAAUGGAAACAGCUCCUAGUUGGAAAUUGUUGUUUUGGUUGCUGUUUCUGUUUGGAAAGGUACUUU